UCAAUGUUGGCCUAAACUGUCUGAGGAGGGAGAUGUUACAAAUACUAUGAGUAGAAUACAAGCAGCAGAGCAAAAGCGCAACACCACCACCAACACCAGCAGCAGCAGCACCAGUCCAACCGUAAGCCAGUUAGUACGAGACUAGUACGUUUGGGGAGCAUUAAAUAAAACACAUAGAAAACAGAUGCGAAUUUUGUUGAAGCCGUAAAACCAGUUAGUUGGAUGGAUGGUUGGUUGGUUGGAUUGUUAGUUGUUGAAUUAUUCUGUUUUUCUUUUUCGCUUUUGUUUUUUGGCCCAGCUUGAUUGUGACGACUGACUCUAUAGACUAGACAAACAACAAAUCAGUUGAGCUUUUGCAAACGACUACGGAAGGUGUAUUUCAGUCAAUUUGGUUUUGCGUGCGCGUGUGUAAUUUCUUUCCACAUUUAAUUAAUAACAAACAACAAAGUUUUGUUAUAAUUUUAAAAAAAUUAUUAAGUAAAUAAAAAUAAAUAAAAGUAAUAAAAAGUUUUUAUGAUAAAAAUUAAAAAAAACUUGUUUUAUUUUCACUUAAAAAAAAAACUUGAAAAAAUUGUUUUUUUAAAAAAAGCAAAGAAUUUGAAAUUUUGCAUGAUUCGAUUUCAAAAAUAAACCUCAACUACAAACAAAUUGCUUAUUUAAGUGAAAUUUUUAGUAAUUUGUUUUUGUUCUGUUUUGAGAAAAAAAUUGUUUGUUUUUUAAAAAAAAUUUUAAAAAUAAUAACAAACAAUCAACAGCCUUGAAAACUGCUGCUGUUGCAAGUAAAAUUUAAAAAAAGAAAGAAAAUCAUAAAAAAAAAUUACUACUAAAACAACAACCACUAAAAAGUGAAGCUUCAAUAAAAAAAUAACUUGAAACUCAAAAGAAGAAUCUGAAAAAAGUAAAACAACUAAAACAACAACGAAAGAAAAAGAAGUAAAACAAUACCCUCAUUUCUUCAAGUGACUGACUGCAUUAACAAACAACGACCGAAACCUUGUGUCUUGUGAAAUGUAUCUUACGGAUGCACAUGACAAUUUUUUUGUUUUUAACAAAUACACAUUGUUGUUGUUGUUGCCUUUAAGCUACUAAUGCUGUCGCUAUAACGCUGCUAAUGUGUUUUCAUAAUUAGUUACAAAAAUAAAUUGCAAAAAAUAAACAAAAAGAGUUGAAAACAAAAAUUACAACUAAAGAAAAUAACAAACUAAUUUUUUACAACAACAAUUAAAACAACACUUUUUGUUAAAGAAUUUGUGCAAUUUUAUUCUUCAAACCUUUAAUUAAAAAAAAUUAUUUGAAUUGUGUUCAUAUUUUUUGAUUUUGUGUUGUUUUUUUGAGUUCUGCUUCGAAAGUGAAUUUGGAUUUUUUUUGUUUGGUUUCACUUCAUUUGAUUUGCAUAAUUUAUUAAUAUUAUUUCUUUAUUAAUAAAUAAGCAUUGUUUGUGUUGAUAUCUUAUAAUUUAUGCUUAAAACCUAUACUAUAAAAGUAGUUCUAACAAAAAAAUUUUUUAAAAAAUUUCUUUUCGAUUUAAAAGAAAUUUCUUUUAAGAAUUUUAUUUAUUGGCCACAAAAAAGAAAAUAAUUUAUGUUUGUUUUUGUGCUUUAACAUUGUCUAGUAGUAGAAAUUUAUCAAAAUAUUUUGCAUUAAAAAAGUGUGGUGCAUUUUAUGGAAUCAGCAGAACGUGUUUGAGAAGUAGAUUCAGUUUGAUACCGAAAAAAGCUUGAUUGCUCUCUUUUUAUCGGGAUUCUUGCGAUUUAAAAUAAACCAGCAUAAAGGUAAGU